AGCUGUAGCUCAAUGGUAGAGCACUUGCCUGGCACGUGGGAGGUGCUGGGUUCAAUCCUCAGGGCCA
rnacentral:tRNA from 1 species